GAUGAACGCUGGCGGCGUGCCUAAUACAUGCAAGUCGAGCGAACAGAUGAGGAGCUUGCUCCUCUGACGUUAGCGGCGGACGGGUGAGUAACACGUGGAUAACCUACCUAUAAGACUGGGAUAACUUCGGGAAACCGGAGCUAAUACCGGAUAAUAUAUUGAACCGCAUGGUUCAAUAGUGAAAGACGGUUUUGCUGUCACUUAUAGAUGGAUCCGCGCCGCAUUAGCUAGUUGGUAAGGUAACGGCUUACCAAGGCGACGAUGCGUAGCCGACCUGAGAGGGUGAUCGGCCACACUGGAACUGAGACACGGUCCAGACUCCUACGGGAGGCAGCAGUAGGGAAUCUUCCGCAAUGGGCGAAAGCUUGACGGAGCAACGCCGCGUGAGUGAUGAAGGUCUUCGGAUCGUAAAACUCUGUUAUUAGGGAAGAACAAAUGUGUAAGUAACUAUGCACGUCUUGACGGUACCUAAUCAGAAAGCCACGGCUAACUACGU
rnacentral:rRNA from 1 species